rnacentral:tRNA from 1 species
UCCCUCCUAACUGAGUUGGUAAAGAAUUUGCCUGCAAUGCAGGAGACCUGGGUUCGAUGCCUGGGUUGGGAA